UACGUAGGGACCGAGCGUUAUCCGGAUUCAUUGGGCGUAAAGGGCGCGUAGGCGGCGGGGUAAGUCGGGUGUGAAAUCUCAGAGCUCAACUCUGAAACUGCACUCGAUACUGCUCUGCUUGAGGACUGGAGAGGAGACUGGAAUUCACGGUGUAGCAGUGAAAUGCGUAGAUAUCGUGAGGAAGACCAGUGGCGAAGGCGGGUCUCUGGACAGUUCCUGACGCUGAGGCGCGAAGGCCAGGGGAGCAAAGCGGG
rnacentral:rRNA from 1 species